ACGAGUUUUAAACAAAAAUGGGUGUGGCUGUAGCUGGUCUUUCUUCACGGAGAGACAUGUGCACGCCUCGCUUGUUUUUCCACCUCUCACACCUUUGUGCACUUUCUCACAGGCUGGACUGAAGACUUUCGUCUUCGUCCUGUCUGUGUGCUUUGAACCACAAACUUUUUGUCAGUUUUGGAAUGUACUUGCUUGUGCAACAAAAUUGCAUACUUUAAAUA
rnacentral:misc_RNA from 1 species